GAAUGUGCAAUUGGUUAUACAUCAAAAUCCGGCUAUCCAUGUAAGAAAUGUUCGAUGAAAACAUAUGGAUCAAAAUGUUUAGAACGGUGUGAAUGCAAAUUAGAAAAAUGUGAUCACGUGAGAGGGUGUAUUAGUGAAUCCUCCUCCAAUGAAAGUACUACUCAAAGAUUUAACUACCAGCUGACU